UCACGUUACCUAACACUAGUGACUUUACAUCUGGGCGUGUUUAUUUUUGCCGCGUCAACUUCAUUUAGUCGGUCCAAGUUGAGUCAGUGCUUAAUGGUCCACUUCACCGAGCUCCGGGGGCGCGGUGCCAGGAGCAGAAGGCCGCGGGGCUGGGCCUUCCAGCAACCGGGGAGGGUAUAAGUAAGCAGUGGCCCCUGAGAUAAAAUAGGAAACCUGGAAAACGAACGUCAGGAGCAGCUCUGGACUCGCUGCCGACGGGCAGCAGGCCUGUGGAAGUCCCAUCAAGGGACCAGGAGGUGGAGGAGGCCAGCCCUGCUGGCUGGAGAUAGGCAGCACAGCUCCCAGCGCUGCCCACUGCUGGACCCCCUGGACCAUCGUGGCUCCCCGGCCAGGCACAUGCAAGAGGACAGACCCCAGAAAGACUCUGCUUUCACACAUCCGCAGCUGCCAUCCAGUUUAAGCCAGGGGGUUUAGAGACCUGAAACAUCAAUAGCUUCUGGGUGGUUCUGAGGAUUCAAGAGGUGGGUAGCUUCAAUAUAAGUCAAGUCAUUGUUUCUGUCACCACAUCUUCUGAAGUUGGAUAAAAUCCCAACAACAAGUGUCAGUUCAGAUCAGAUUUACAACAGGCAAGCACCUGUUCUUCAGGRCUGACUAGAUGAAGACCCCUGUGAUUACCGUUCUCCGGGAGGAGGGUCGUCUUGGUGGGGGCCCGAUGUGCACUCUGACCCCUUGGCCCUGAAGCUCCAGGUGUGUGGACCUCAGCAGCGUAGGCUAGAGGUCUGGAGUCAGUGGAGGCUGAUUUGGAAGCUCUGUGGUCCUGCCCCCCA
rnacentral:lncRNA from 1 species